GCCGGAGUGGUGGAAUUGGCAGACACGCGGGAUUUAGGUUCCCGUUCCUUCGGGAGUGAGGGUUCGAGUCCCUUCUUCGGCA
rnacentral:tRNA from 1 species